GACGAACGCUGGCGGCGUGCUUAACACAUGCAAGUCGAACGGAAAGGCCCUGCUUUUGUGGGGUGCUCGAGUGGCGAACGGGUGAGUAACACGUGAGUAACCUGCCCUUGACUUUGGGAUAACUUCAGGAAACUGGGGCUAAUACCGGAUAGGAGCUCCUGCUGCAUGGUGGGGGUUGGAAAGUUUCGGCGGUUGGGGAUGGUCUCGCGGCUUAUCCGCUUGUUGGUGGUGUAGUGGCUUACCAAGGCUGCGACGGGUAGCCGGCCUGAGAGGGUGACCGGCCACAUUGGGACUGAGAUACGGCCCAGACUCCUACGGGAGGCAGCAGUGGGGAAUAUUGCACAAUGGGCGGGAGCCUGAUGCAGCAACGCCGCGUGCGGGAUGACGGCCUUCGGGUUGUAAACCGCUUUCGCCGGUGACGAAGCGUGAGUGACGGUAAUGGGUAAAGAAGCACCGGCUAACUACGUG
rnacentral:rRNA from 1 species